ensembl:lncRNA
UAGUUUUAGAUUGGUUCCCCAUUUAAUUACAAAUUCUUACAAUCAAAUUGCGGGAUAAUUUUCAACAGCAAAUUCAAAUCCACGGACUAUAAUACAGCAUAACCACACACACAGACGUAUACAUAAAUGUACAUUAUAAGAUCUAUACAAGUGAUAUACAGUGUAGUUCAUAGUAUUUAGCAGGCAAUGAGUGCAGUAAAAUGUCUGGAAGCUGGCUUCAUGUUUGAAGAAUGUAUAGAAUAAGAAAUACAUUUUGUUCAUAAAGUUUCUCAACUGUUACAGUACAGGUUAUGAGAAAUGUGCAAAAUCUUUAAGUACACAACAUAAACAACUAAUUGUUUAAACAUUUUUAGUCUUAAAAAAAGAAAAGAAUCAAUCAUAAAAAUAAUUUGGUCACAAAAAUUACCAUCCAGCAUAUUUAAAUUUACAACCAAAGUGUAAUGAAGUGAAAAUCCUCAAGGUUGAAACCUUUCUCACUGCCACUGGGAAGAUCAUCGGUCAGUUAUUGCAGAGACAGCACAGAUUGCACAAGGUCAAUAAAAUAUCUGAGUGGGAACAGUCUGCUGAGUUCAUACAGGUAUCUGGAUCUGGCUUAGACCAACUAGCACAAACCACAGAAAAAAAAAAGACCCCAGAGAUGGACACGAAACUUUCUUUUCGUCAAACACACGUAAUACAGGACAAAAAAACUGAUGUAACUUCUGGUCUCUGGCAGUACUGAGGUGCGUGUUUGAAGUGAGCAAGCAGUUGUGCAACUGACUCAAGUAUUUGCUCCCUCCUGACAGAGUGGUCUAGCCAUACACUUCAAACAUGACAUUAAACUCAUGCAGAGAUGCAAAAACAUAUGCAUAAUGUUUAUUUGCUUUUCUUUGUAGUACUAGCACAACAAUUUUUUCCUUUAUAGAAUUAUAAACCAAUCAAAAAGGAUUUAAAAUUCCCAUUCAACUUACUAAGCUUAGUUUUAUAAUGAUGGACUGAUGGUGAUUGGCUGAUACUGUUAUUUGAAGUAUCAAUUUGACUGGCAGCUAAUGUUCAUAUCCCUUCAUUUUCUCUGUUGUACUGGGAAAGAAAAAAAUCUUUAUCAUUAAAAAAAACUAUUUAAAAAUGUACUUUCACCUUCUAAUCACACAUCUUUGAACAGUAAGUGAGUGCAAAAUGAAUGCACCGAAUGCAGAUUAAACAUUAGCCACUGCCAUCAGCUAUGGAGCCAAUGUGCAUCCCUAGUAGAAGCAAAGAUUUCCUAAAUAACACUGCAAUUUUACCAGAAAGAAGAAGAAGGAGAAGAAGAAAUAAACAUUCACUCAGAUUUGGCACAAAAGUGGAGCAGCCAGCAGCUUUAAGGACACAAAACGGUUAACUACGUCUCUUCUCUCACCCUCCAAGUUCUAAUGGUGAGGGUCAAUAGCCUCUGUGACAAUGCCAACGUCUAACACACAUUUCAGUUACAACAUCUUAACUAUUUGCGUCAUUUAAAAUUUUAAAGUUAAUGUCGGACCUCACUUGGGCAUUUAAUCAACUACUGAGUGUGGCAUUGCACAAAAACAGAUUAAACAUCAAAAUAAUUCUGGGAAAUACAGUAAUAUGUGCACUGAAAAACAACUUUGCGUACAGGUUCAGUCAUUGGGUCGGUGUGGAUAAUUAUUAACCCAGUGAUAUGCAGACAUACAUGAUUGUUUCUUGUGUUUUGACUAAACAUUGAAAUUCACGCCGGGUUCAGUAGGUCAAAGAGCCAGGUCAUCAAAUAUAUAACCUACGAAAACUAUAUCACUCAUUAUUGUAGUUGAAAAAGAGACAUUAUUCAGUCCUUUUGGCGAUGUGCAUUUCCACAAAUGCACAUUCCACAUUUAUCCAUGCAUCUUAGUACAUGUACAAUGCAGAAACAAAACCAUAUAUCUUAUGUCCAUUCAUCCAUGAACCCCUUGCAGCACACACCAUAUCAUAACAAAAAAAUGAAAUAGUAAACCUAAACAUGGCAUCACCUAAAUGUGAUACCAACAAAAUAACUGCUUGCUGCUUUGGCACAAGUGGCAAAUAAAUUGUGUAAUUAAAAAAAAAAAAUCAGCUUAUUAGUUUUCUAUUUACUUAUCUAGAUUAUUGCCCUUUUUUAAACAUUGGUGGAGCAUUAAAAAAAAAAAAAGCAAAAAAGUAAAACUCUAGUAUUGUUAGGAAUGAUUUCACAGUGUAGGAAUUAGGACGGAUUUUCAAUAAGAACAUUUUAGGCGAUAUUUUCUUGGGCUGAAAUUUUUAAUUUUCAGACAGAGCAAUGAGGUAUGGACUUGAGGAAAUUAUUACAUUCCAGGUGUUUACCCAUGCAUUCCAUGUCCAAGGUAUAGGUAUAAUACCACUUGUUGCAUAUUUCAGUCUCAGAUAUAAAGUGUUAAUAUUAUAAGUGUCACAGCUAGCCAUGGGCGUAACUUUGUGCUGAACAUUGGGGGGGGGGGGCAAGAUCUCUGGGUAAUAUAAAUAAAUAAAUAAAUCUGUGUAAAUUCCCAGAUGAUUAAACAUGCACCUAUUUUGCUGGUAAUAACUGAAAUGAGUAAAGAAAAUAAACAGCCUAUUUAUGCAAGAUAAUUCAUAAUUUUAUUGGGUGGGUUAUAUUGCUUGGGUCUGAUUAUUGGGGGGGGGGGGUCAUAACCCCCCUGGAAAUUACACCCCUGCAGCUAGCUUCUGAUUUGCUUCCAAACUUAUCACAAAAGUCAGGAAAUUUGUGUUUGCUUAAUUAUUUCUUUGUUGUAACACUAUAAAUUUCAUACCGUUGGAAAGCCUGUUUAUUUCCCCUUAAAUGCUGCCAUAUUUGUAAGAAAAAUGCUCUUGUGGUUUGAGCAGAAGUGUUGAGUACGUGGUUUGCCCCUAUGAAAACCUUGCCAAAUCUCCUCUGGCAAUGUGAAACAACUUAGUCUGGUCUUUACUCUUGUUUGUGUCGUUUAUUGGGUUGAAUUACUGAGGUUUGAACAAACAAGACAUGUUGGCAAUUUAGCAGUUUGUACAUUAACAAUCGGGCUUCAGUAGCAUGCGGACGAACCAUAUGCAGCCACAAUAACCUGGCAUCUCCUGCUCAUGCUGGUUACCAGGUUGGUCACAUACUGCUAUGGGAUCGCAUCCCAUUCUUCAAUCGGUAUUUGUCACAAGUCAGCCUAUCUGGUUGUGCUGGUAACUCUCGCACAAACAGCACGCAAAAGUUGAUCCCAUAUGUGUUCAUUGGAAAUCAACGAACACCAUCCUUUCAUCUUCCAAACUCUGGAAGGACCCCGCUCAAUGUUCAAAAGUAGUGAGUCCGUACUUUAACAGGCGAUCGAACUGCUGUAGACAAAAUCUGGACGCAUUACUCAAUGUUCCUCCACACUUUCA